UACGUAGGGGGCGAGCGUUGUCCGGAAUUAUUGGGCGUAAAGAGCGUGUAGGCGGUUCGGUAAGUCUGCCGUGAAAACCUGAGGCUCAACCCUGGGCGUGCGGUGGAUACUGCCGGGCUAGAGGGUGGUAGAGGCGAGUGGAAUUCCCGGUGUAGCGGUGAAAUGCGCAGAUAUCGGGAGGAACACCAGUGGCGAAGGCGAGUCUCUGGACAUUUCCUGACGCUGAGGCACGAAAGCCAGGGGAGCAAACGGG
rnacentral:rRNA from 1 species